UACCGCAUGAUGUGUAACUGGGACAUCCCGGAUACACCAAAGAUUUAUCGCUGAAAGAUGGCCUCGCGUCUGAUUAGCUAGAUGGUGAGGUAACGGCCCACCAUGGCAACGAUCGGUAGCCGGACUGAGAGGUUGACCGGCCACAUUGGGACUGAGACACGGCCCAGACUCCUACGGGAGGCAGCAGUGAGGGAUAUUGGGCAAUGGGGGCAACCCUGACCCAGCGACGCCGCGUGAGGGAAGACGGUCUUCGGAUUGUAAACCUCUGUCUUUGGGGACGAAAAAGGACGGUACCCAAGGAGGAAGCUCCGACUAACUACGUG
rnacentral:rRNA from 1 species